rnacentral:rRNA from 1 species
GACAGAGGGUGCAAACGUUGUUCGGAAUUACUGGGCGUAAAGCGCGUGUAGGCGGCUAUGCAAGUCGGAUGUGAAAGCCCUCGGCUCAACCGGGGAAGUGCACCCGGAAACUGCAAAGCUAGAGUCUCGGAGAGGAUCGUGGAAUUCUCGGUGUAGAGGUGAAAUUCGUAGAUAUCAGGAGGAACACCGGUGGCGAAGGCGGGUCUCUGGGCCGAUACUGACGCUGAGGAGCGAAAGCGUGGGGAGCGAACAGG